CACAGAACAUCACAUAAUACAGCGACACUCCCACCUGCAACUCGUCAUAUCUCUGUUGUUACGUCACACCUCUCAUCACACACACUGACAGUGACUCUGGUCUCUAAUGUCAGUUGGCUCAGGACACAAUAAUGAUCACAGCUGGUCUGAUCACACUCUCUGCAGCUCUGCUCUGUAUUGUAGGUCUAAUUGAGGGGAAUGAGGUCACUCAGACCCCUCCGCUGUGGAGGGACGAGGGUCAGUCUGCCACGAUGAACUGCAGUCACACUAAGGGUGGCAGUUUUUACCAGAUGUACUGGUACAGGCAGCUGCCAGGGGAGGGAAUGAAGCAAAUUGUUUUCACGACUCCAACUCCCCCACAUCAAUAUGAAAGUGGCUUCAGUGAGGACAAAUUUCCAGCACAGAAGAAAGAUGCUCAGACUGGAUCUCUGACGGUGAAGAAGCUGCUGCUUGAGGACAGUGGAGUGUAUUUUUGUGCUGUGAGUCAACACAGUGAUGCAGGAGACUUAGACAGCUGCACAAAUACCUAAAUGUUGGUGUCAAAGCGAAUAGAAGACAUCACUGUCUUCAAUUGUCUGAAGGGGGAGCUCAAGACCUACAAAUUAUGUUAAGAUUUUUGGUUAGUAGUCAGCAUCAUUUGUAAUAACUGUGAUUUUGUAAUAUAAUUGUUACAUAGGAGUGUAGCAACACAUGGCUGAAAAAUUGAGA